UACGUAGGGUGCAAGCGUUAAUCGGAAUUACUGGGCGUAAAGCGUGCGCAGGCGGUUAUGCAAGACAGGUGUGAAAUCCCCGGGCUUAACCUGGGAACUGCAUUUGUGACUGCAUCGCUGGAGUGCGGCAGAGGGGGAUGGAAUUCCGCGUGUAGCAGUGAAAUGCGUAGAGAUGCGGAGGAACACCGAUGGCGAAGGCAGCCCCCUGGGCUGAGACUGACGCUCAGGCACGAAAGCGUGGGGAGCAAGCAGG
rnacentral:rRNA from 1 species